rfam:Sclerotinia borealis F-4128 unplaced genomic scaffold scaffold00028, whole genome shotgun sequence.
GGCACUUUGGCGGAGUGGUUAACGCGAUGCCCUGCUACUGUAUAAACAGAGUCAGGCAUUUCCUUCGGGAGCAAGAGUUCGAAUCUCUUAGGUGUCG